GGCGAAAGCCUGAUGCAGCAACGCCGCGUGAGUGAUGAAGGCCUUCGGGUUGUAAAGCUCUGUCUUCUGGGACGAUAAUGACGGUACCAGAGGAGGAAGCCACGGCUAACUACGUGCCAGCAGCCGCGGUAAUACGUAGGUGGCAAGCGUUGUCCGGAUUUACUGGGCGUAAAGGAUGCGUAGGCGGAUACUUAAGUCAGAUGUGAAAAUCCCGGGCUUAACUUGGGAACUGCAUUUGAAACUGGGUAUCUAGAGUGCGGGAGAGGAAAGUGGAAUUCCUAGUGUAGCGGUGAAAUGCGUAGAGAUUAGGAAGAACACCAGUGGCGAAGGCGACUUUCUGGACCGUAACUGACGCUGAGGCAUGAAAGCGUGGGGAGCAAACA
rnacentral:rRNA from 1 species